CGGGAGCUUGCUCCUGGUGGCGAGUGGCGAACGGGUGAGUAAUGCAUCGGAACGUACCCAGUCGUGGGGGAUAACUACGCGAAAGCGUAGCUAAUACCGCAUACGCCCUGAGGGGGAAAGCGGGGGACUCUUUCGGGAGCCUCGCGCGAUUGGAGCGGCUGAUGUCGGAUUAGCUAGUAGGUGAGGUAAAGGCUCACCUAGGCGACGAUCCGUAGCUGGUCUGAGAGGAUGAUCAGCCACACUGGGACUGAGACACGGCCCAGACUCCUACGGGAGGCAGCAGUGGGGAAUUUUGGACAAUGGGGGCAACCCUGAUCCAGCCAUGCCGCGUGAGUGAAGAAGGCCUUCGGGUUGUAAAGCUCUUUCAGUCGGGAAGAAACGGGUCGCUCUAAUAUGGCGAUCUAAUGACGGUACCGACAGAAGAAGCACCGGCUAACUACGUGCCAGCAGCCGCGGUAAUACGUAGGGUGCGAGCGUUAAUCGGAAUUACUGGGCG
rnacentral:rRNA from 1 species